CCAAAAUCUUUUCCUACAAACAAGAAACAGGGGACACAGAGGGCCUUUUGUACCCUGUAGGGCCCGUGGUGUCCUGCUCAGUUUCAGAAUCUACAGCUGUGAAGACACACAUGAUUUUGACCAUGGAACACAACCCGGCCACUGACUAUAUUAGCCAUGAGAUUGGAUGAGCUCAUCAACGGUAUGAGUACAGAGAAGAGAUCCAAGGACUGAGUCAUAGGGCUCUCCAAUGGUAAGAAGUCAGCGAGAACAGAAGGUUAUCAGCAAAGGAGACUGAGAAGGAAUGACCAGUGUGAGAAGGAAAACCAAUAGUGUGGUAUCCUGGAAGCCAAGUGAAAAAGUAUAUCGGUGUUUCAUAAAAGUAGUCCUACAUCACUAAAGGAAGAAAUUGCUCAUUUCCCCAUGAGUCCUACACUCACUGGCAGCAGCCAAGAAUAUUCAGAAGGGUCUCUCCUUGAAGAUCUACAAGAAUGAGACCUCAGGCUAUACAUCUCACCUGGCCUUGUCUUGCAAACACAACUGGCUACAGGACGCUUGGGCAGAGGAUGAGGAUUACUCAGAAAAAGAAAAAAAAAACCCAACCACUGAACACACACGUCCUGCACACAGUGGGUCAGCAGUAGGACUGUCACAGCUGGUGGUAGGAAGUCUGGAGCAGAAGAUUGCUAACCAGGAAUGAAGAAAGCCAAAUGGAUACCAACAAAUUAAGAAGGAUGCAUCCUCUCCGAGAUGGCUAAGAGAACCUCACACAGGAGAAUUCAACUGGGUUUCCAGAAAGUCUCUGCGACAGUAGUACCAACUCCAGCGUUACCUAGGAGGAAUAAGUGUUCCAGUCACUGCACUUUAAACAAGUGUGUUAUACACAAAGGCCUGACUGUUUGCA